GGGCCCGCACAAGCAGCGGAGCGUGUGGUUUAAUUCGAUGCAACACGAAGAACCUUACCAAGGCUUGACAUGUUGGAAGUAAUGAACCGAAAGGGGAAUGACCUGUAUCCAGUCAGGAGCCAUCACAGGUGCUGCAUGGCUGUCGUCAGCUCGUGCCGUGAGGUGUUGGGUUAAGUCCCGCAACGAGCGCAACCCUCGUUGCCAGUUAUUUUCUCUGGCGAGACUGCCCCGCAAAACGGGGAGGAAGGUGGGGAUGACGUCAAGUCAGCAUGGCCUUUAUGCCUUGGGCUACACACACGCUACAAUGGGUGGUACAGUUGGCAGCAAUAGAGUGAUCUGGAGAGAAUCCACGAAAGCCAUCCUCAGUUCGGAUUGCAGGCUGAAACCCGCCUGCAUGAAGUCGGAGUUGCUAGUAAUCGCAGGUCAGCAUACUGCGGUGAAUACGUUCUCGGGCCUU
rnacentral:rRNA from 1 species